AUUGAACGCUGGCGGAAUGCUUUACACAUGCAAGUCGAACGGCAGCACGGACUUCGGUCUGGUGGCGAGUGGCGAACGGGUGAGUAAUAUAUCGGAACGUAUCCAAUAAUGGGGGAUAACUAAUCGAAAGGUUGGCUAAUACCGCAUACGUCCUACGGGAGAAAGCUAGGGACCUUCGGGCCUGGCGUUAAUGGAGCGGCCGAUAUCUGAUUAGCUAGUUGGUGAGGUAAAGGCUCACCAAGGCGACGAUCAGUAGCUGGUCUGAGAGGACGACCAGCCACACUGGAACUGAGACACGGUCCAGACUCCUACGGGAGGCAGCAGUGGGGAAUUUUGGACAAUGGGCGCAAGCCUGAUCCAGCCAUUCCGCGUGAGUGAAGAAGGCCUUCGGGUUGUAAAGCUCUUUCGCCAGGGAAGAAAACUUAGUUACUAAUAUUAACUGAGGUUGACGGUACCUUGAUAAGAAGCACCGGCUAACUACGUGCCAGCCGCCGCGGUAAAAC
rnacentral:rRNA from 1 species